rnacentral:lncRNA from 1 species
CGGGUGCGAGAGGGGGCAGAGCACCGGACAACAACAGCAGCAGCAACAACGAGGUCGCCGCCACCAUGGCCCUGCAGAAUCCCAAGCUCGGGUGACCGGGAGAUAAUGCACAAAACAUUCAACCAGGAUGCCGAGGACCCCUCGCUCAGGAGAAAUCAGCUCAGCAUUGGCUGCAGUUCCUGCCAAAGGCAGCAAGCCCAGCUCUGCAACAGGAUACUGCAAAACUGUGAUGGCAGGAAAAUAGGGUCUGGAGGCAGGGAACCUAAGGCCGAUUCACACUGACUUUGUAGAACUAAAUCAAAAGGAAAACCCC